CAGACAUGCGUGUAAGUCAGAGAUUGUUGAUCUGUGCUAUACUUCUUCUUGAAAGAUCGAACGCAGUUGUGCAGGCUUAUACCCGUACCCAUGCUGAAUGUGCUUUGCCAAAAUGUCCUCCUGGAUAUGGCGCCACGGGUACCUGUGAAGGUCAAGUACAACCUACGUGCAUACCGUGCCCUAAUGGCACAUAUUCGUCGUACUUUAGCCGUCGAUCGGAAUGUCGCCCCUGCUCAGAAUGUGACCUAAAUGAGGAAAUUGUUCUAUGGGAGUGUGAUUUGUGGUUCGACACUGUUUGUACGAAGAAAAAACCCGACAACAUCAUUUUAUUUCGAGCGAAGAAUCUGGUGUACGGAAUUUCGAAACCAACAUCCAAGAACCGAUGAUGAAUAUGUGACAGAACUGAGGUCAACUACUUUUAUGAUGACUACUGUCAGCUUGCCUCUUGAAAAAAAAACUGAAGCAGUGAGAAGAGAGCAAUAUAAAGACAGCUUCAACAAUGACGACGUAAACUCUCCUCCCCAAGGCACAGAAGAACCUAG